AGUGAACGCUGGCGGUAGGCCUAACACAUGCAAGUCGAGCGGCAGCACAGUAAGUGCUUGCUCUUACGGGUGGCGGGUGGCGUACGGGUGAGGAAUAUAUCGGAAUCUACUUUUUCGUGGGGGAUAACGUAGCGAAACUUACGCUAAUACCGCAUACGACCUACGGGUGAAAGCAGGGGAACUUCGUACCUUGCACGAUUGAAUUAGCCGAUGUCGGAUUAGUUAGUUGGCGGGGUAAUGGCCCACCAAGGCGACGAUACGUAGCUGGACUGAGAGGAUGAUCAGCCACACUGGAACGAAGACGAGGACCAGCCUCCGACGGGAGGCAGCAGUGAGAAAUAUUCGAGAGUGGGCGGAAACGUAUACCGGCCAAUCCGCGUGGGUGAGAAGGAGCUUCGGGUUGUAGAGCCCUUUUGUUGGGAGAGAAAAGCAGCCGGUUAAUACGACACAGUACUGACGGUACCCAAAGAAUAAGCACCGGCUAACUUCGUG
rnacentral:rRNA from 1 species